rnacentral:rRNA from 1 species
GACGAACGCUGGCGGCGUGCUUAACACAUGCAAGUCGAACGAUGAAGAAAAGAAUUUAAGCUUCGGCAGAAAUUCAUUUCGGAUUAGUGGCAGACGGGUGAGUAACGCGUGAGCAACCUACCUCUUACAAAGGGAUAGCCUCGGGAAACCGGGAUUAUUUCCAUAUAACAUUGCGACGAAGCAUUUCGAUGCAAUCAAAGCUACGGCGUUAAUAGAUGGGCUCGCGUCCCAUUAACCAGAUGGUGAGGUAACGGCUCACCAUAGUAACGAUGGGUAACCGGCAAGAGAGGGUGAACGGUCACACUGGAAAUGAGACACGGUACAGACUCCUACGGGAGGCAGCAGAGGGGAAUAUUGCACAAUGGAGGGAACUAUGAUGCAGCGACGACGCGUGAGUGAUGAAGGAAUUCGUUUAGAAAAACUCUGUUCUAUGGGAAGAAAAGGACUGUACCAUAGGAGAAAGCUCCGGCUAAAUACGUG